CAAAAUCUGUCAGUCAUGGGAAAUUACAUGAAUGAUUCUGUGGAGGCUAAACCAAGAUUGCUGAACUCAUUUUCAUGCAUGGCUAACUGCAGAAUUGAACCUCAUGCUCCAGAAGUGAAAGGAAAACCAAGCAACACAAGAAUGUCUUAUGCUGGCAUAAGAAGGAAGGCACUGAAGUGGAUGAGAAUGUGAUUUAAAAGAUGGGAACAUAAGGUAAACCAUCCUUGGAUGGAAGAGAAUGCUUGGUUCUUGCACAGGAGGGAGAACAAAAGCAAAAUUCCAUAUGGAAUUUGAACCUAUACUAUUCAUUAUAUUCUUAAAUUACCUGGAGAAGGAAAGUUAUCAGUGAGGUGACAAAGCUUUGCUAGGUUAUGCAAGGUAGUUAGAUGAGGGAGACUGCAUAGCUUGCAGAAAGAUUGACUGUACAAAAAACCAACAGGUGCAGCUCAGUGUACAUAACUGUAGAAUGGUAUAUUUGGGGAAGAAUAAUCCUAUUUUCACAUCUUGGAUCAUUUCUAAGCUGGCUCAAAGAUCUUCAGGAACAAGACCUUUGGGUUAUGGUAGACAGUUCCAUGAAAAUACCACUUAGUUCAAGAAAAAAAAACUAGCUAGGAAUGAUUAAGAAGCAAAUAGAAAAAAACAGGAUCAUUACACUUACUGUUCAAAGCCAUAUGCUACUGUAAAAAUCCAGGGUUCUGGUCCAUUUAUCUAGGACAAGACAUACCAGAAAUGAAAUUAUUCAGGGAUGACAAGGAUGAUCAGAGGUAUACUGCGACUUCCACUACAACAUGCAAGGUACUCCAUCCAUUGAAUAUCCAAGAAUCUUAUUUGGAAAAAAACAUGACAUAGUGGGAAGGUAAGAAGAGGUCUGCAGAACUGAGAGGUCUGGAGAAAAGUGGAGUGGGAUUGACUUUUCCCUGUCUCUUGUAAUACAGGCAUAAAGGGUAUAGGAAGAAGUUAGUAAGACCUUCAUUCAGAAUAAACCAGAGGAACCAGUUCUUCAGACACUUCUAUAAGGACCUGUGGUCGUGCUCCUCAAAUGAUCUUCUGGAUCAAGGAGUCUAUAAAGCAGCAAAGAUAGACUGGAAAAAACCUUGAAAGAGAUGCUGUGGAGUCCACUAACUAGAUAAAUCACAUAACCUGACCUGAAAAUGUUUGAAGGCUGGGAGGCAGUAUGUGCUUACUCUGUUCUGGUUUUUCCUAGGGGCUCACUCCCAUGGUUAAAUGUGGGAGAUGGACCUGUGGUCUGAACCGACACGUAAGUUCACGUCACUUUGUCCUUGCACACCAAAGUCAGAAUUAAAUGAAUGAAGAUAUUAACAGCUUACAUAUAUUUAUAGCUUUCAAGUUCCCUAAAUAAGCGUAAUGUUAUGAAAAUUUAGGAUCAGAAGAAACUUUAAGAAGUCACCUAAUCCACCGCUUUGUUCCAUGGCAAAAUCAAUUACAGCCCUUAGUGACAAAUUUGUCCAACCUGUUCCUAAAACUUUCAGUGAUGGAGAAUCAAGGGCCUCCAUAAGUAAUCUAUUUAAAGCCUCACUAUGAGAAGGAUUUUUUCCCUGUCUAAUGGGAAUCUAAUCAGCUGUUGUUUGCUGUAAACCAUUAGUUAGCUGCAAACCUGAGCUAAGAUGGGAGGUGUCCUACGUUUCUGAUGAAUGUUGUCCAGUAACUUCAGUGACUCUGGAAAUAGCCUGAACAUAGGCUUGGUUUUUAAUGUAGCUAGUAAUUACUGGGGUUUGUAUUUUGGUUAAUAUGACCAAGCAUGACCAGGGAUCUAUUCUGUAUCCUUUCAGGGUUUUAAGGUCAUUCUAAUGUUUUAUCUCUUCAGCAUUUUCUGGCUUCAGGUAAACUUUCCUUGAGCAGUGCUUUCUUAAACCCAGCGUGUUUUGACUUUGCUGCAACAAAGGCUGUUUGAAAGGUGUGUCUACAGAAAAAGUGGGACAAAAAGAUUUCUUUUAAAACAUUACUGAAAACCAGCAUGUAAUAUUUUCUUUCUUUCCUGUAAGGUCUAAUUUCUGGUUUUGCCUGUAAUUCACUGAACUGUAUGUGUUCAAGAUUAAAUGAAUGUUUGAGCUGUCUUAA